rnacentral:tRNA from 1 species
GGUAAGGUGGCUGAAUUAAGGUGAUAGACUGUAAAUCUAUUUAUGAGAAUUUAUUCUCCCUUGCCA